UCACACCUUAUCUUCUUCUACACUUGAAGAUCCUCACCCCAUCUCCCUCACCAGACCCAUCGCCAAGCCACCCCGCCUCUCUGGAUGCCCACGACCACCCUAGAACAACCAUCUCCACCAAAUAAUCAGCCACACACCACCCUGACCCCUUCUUCUUCAACCAUCGAUCUCAUCGGCAAACGAACGACAACCAGAAAUCUAUUUCUUCACCACCCUUAUUCACCACAUAAAGCUUACGAAAGAACAUCCCCAAGCAGACGCAGCAUAUGCUAUAGUUGAACACCACCAGAAAAUUGUUAGGGUUUCUGAGUCGAUUUGAGAUCCGAGUUUUGUUCGUCGAGGCCUGGUCCCAUCUGGUCUUGUUUGUUUCAGGAUUUUCUUGCUGUAAAACACAAAAUUUCAAAGGUUCUUUCCUUGUUUGUUAGUAUCAG
rnacentral:lncRNA from 1 species